UUGGUGAAAUGCAAAUGGAGCUUGUUGAAUUACAGCCCAAAUUGGAGGAAGCUAAAAUUGAAAAUGCAAAUAUGAUGCAGGUUAUUGAGAUAGAGUCUGUACAAGUGGAAGCGAAAAGACAAUUUGUGAAAUUGGAUGAAGAGAUAGCCAGUGGGAAAGCUGAAGAAGCCCAAGCUCUGAAAAAUGAGUGUGAAAGUGACCUAGCUGAGGCGAUUCCAGCCUUGGAAGCGGCUCUGUCUGCACUGGAUACACUUAAG
rnacentral:lncRNA from 1 species